rnacentral:rRNA from 1 species
CUACGGGAGGCAGCAGUUGGGAAUCUUAGGCAAUGGACGAAAGUCUGACCUAGCGACGCCGCGUGAGGGAAGAAGGCCUUCGGGUUGUAAACCUCUGUCAUGGGGGAAGAAGGAAGUGACGGUACCCCAAGAGGAAGCCCCUGCUAACUACGUGCCAGCAGCCGCGGUAAUACGUAGGGGGCUAGCGUUAUCCGGAAUUAUUGGGCGUAAAGGGCGAGUAGGCGGUUUGUUAAGUCAGGUGUGAAAUUUCAGGGCUCAACCCUGAAACUGCGCUUGAAACUGGCAGGCUAGAGGACAGGAGAGGGAAGUGGAAUUCCCGGUGUAGCGGUGAAAUGGGUAGAUAUCGGGAGGAACACCAGUGGCGGAGGCGGCUUCCUGGACUGUACCUGAAGCUGAUGGGCCAAAGCUGGGGGAACAAACAGGAUUAGAAACCCUUGUAGUCC